rnacentral:rRNA from 1 species
GGAGGAAUAUUGGUCAAUGGGCGAGAGCCUGAACCAGCCAAGUCGCGUGAAGGAUGAAGGUUCUAUGGAUUGUAAACUUCUUUUAUUCGAGGGUAAAGUGAGGUAUGUAUACCUUAUUGCAAGUAUCGAAUGAAUAAGCAUCGGCUAACUCCGUGCCAGCAGCCGCGGUAAUACGGAGGAUGCGAGCGUUAUCCGGAUUUAUUGGGUUUAAAGGGUGCGUAGGCGGACGAUUAAGUCAGCGGUGAAAGCGUGUGGCUCAACCAUACCACUGCCGUUGAUACUGGUUGUCUUGAGUGUAAACGAGGUAGGCGGAAUGUGAUGUGUAGCGGUGAAAUGCUUAGAUAUGUCACAGAACCCCGAUUGCGAAGGCAGCUUACCAGGAUACAACUGACGCUGAGGCACGAAAGCGUGGGUAUCAAACAGGAUUAGAUACCCUGGUAGUCCCUGAGACUCGAC